rnacentral:lncRNA from 1 species
GGUAGAGUAUACUGUGGAUACACUAGACAAAGGGAUGAUUUAUAUCCUGGGCAGAAUGGAGUAGGACAGUGAAAGAUUUCGCCAACAUAUUCAGAAUAGCAUGCAAUUUAAAACUUAUUUUGAAGUUGGAAGAAGUGGCAAAAUGUGAAAAGCAAGAAGCAAGUAUUACCAGAGACACCUAUGAAAAAGAAAUCUUUCUGAAGAACAUUUUUAAAGUGCCAUAAUCUGUUCGCUCAUGGCCCAUAGUGUUGGUGAGGCCAACACUAUAGCUGCAAGCACUUACUUCAUUUAAGAAGUUUAUCGAGAGCUUUAUAAAUAAAUUCUGUUCUCCAUCUACUAUGCAAAUAAAACUGCUGUAUCUCA